AAAAUUGGGGGGCGACAAUACCUAAAAAGAGGUGUUGUUCCUACAGUCUUCGCGUGGAACUGGCAAAUUCAAAAGAGACCUGGUGUUUGGGAAAGAAGACUGAAACCUCCUGCUCCGACUGAGGGGGAUGAAGAACAAGAUGAAAUCCUGUGACUAGUGAAGUCUGGCCACUCGACAACCUGCCCGCUCGACUCCAUCCCCUCCUCCCUUCUCCAGACCAUCUCUGGAGACCUUCUCACUUCCCUCAUCAACUCAUCCCUGACCACUGGCUGCGUCCCCUCCUCAAGAAACCAACACUCGACUCAUCUGACGUGAAACUGUAGACCUGUAUCUCUUUCUUUUCUUUCCAAAACAUUGGAGUGUGCUAUCUCUGAUCAACUUUCUUGUUAUCACUCUCAGAAAAAUCUUCUUGACCCUAACCAGUCAGACUUCAAGACUGGUCACUCAACCAAGACUGCUCUUCUCUGUGUCAUGGAGUCUCUCCGCACAGCCAAAGCUGACUGUCACUCCUCUGUCCUCAUCCUCCUAGAUCUAUCCGCUGCCUUCGCCACCAAGAACCAUCAGAUCCUCCUCUCCAGCCUCUCAGGCUGGGCGUCUCCGGCUCUGCACGCUCUUGGAUUGCAUCCUACCUGGCAGGUCACUCCUACCUGGUGACGUGGAGAGGACCUGUGUCUCCAACACGUACUCUCACUACUGGUGUCCCCUAAGGGCUUGGUUCUAGGCCCCCUCCUCUCUAUACACCAAGGCACUCAGCUCCAUCAUAUGGUCUCUCCUAUCAUUGAUAUGCGGAUGACACAACUACUUUUCUCCUUCACCCUCUUCUGACACCCAGGUGGGUGACACGCAUUUCUGCGUGCUUGGCAGAUAUCUCAACUUGAAUGUCGGCCCACCACCUCAACCUCAACCUCGACAAGACGGAGCUGCUCUUCGUCCCGGGGAAGGCCUGCCCACUAUUUUGGAAAUUACAAGAUUAUGUUAUAAUGCUGUUAUUGCAUCAAAUGGUUGUUUUAUGCAACAGAAUAAGGGGUUGUUAGAACACUCAUCUGUGUGUGUUCUACUGAGGAUGGGCCUCUGGGAAAACACUGACAGGAGAUUUACCAUGUCUUUUGAGUGAUAAAACCUAAAGAGACCGCAUUCCAGAGCAUGAGUUAACUUCUUAUGGAUAGGGGGCAGCAUUUUCACGUUUGGAUGAAAAGCGUUCCCAGAGUAAACUGCCUCCUACUCAGUCCCAGAUGCUAAUAUAUGCAUAUUAUUAUUAGUAUUGGAUAGAAAACACUCUGAAGUUUCUAAAACGGUUUGAAUCAUGUCUGUGACUAUAACAGAACUUAUUUGGCAGGCAAAACCCCGAGGACAAACCAUUCAGAUUUGUUUUUUUUGAGGUCACUCUCUUUUCAAUGGGUUUUCAUUGAGAAUCCUGAUUUCUAAGGGACCUUCCUGCAGUUCCUAUCGUUUCCACUGGAUGUCAACAGUCAUUAGAAAUUGGUUGAGGUUUUUCCUUUUUUCCAUUUUUCCUGUUCCCAAGAAAGCUAAGGUAACUGAGCUAAAUGACUAUCGUCCCGUAGCACUCACUUCCGUCAUCAUGAAGUGCUUUGAGAGACUAGUCAUACACCUCCACCCUACCUGACACCCUAGACCCACUCCAAUUUGCUUACCGCCCCAAUAGGUCCACAGACGACGCAAUCGCAAUCACACUGUACACUGCUCUAACCCAUCUGGACAAGAGGAAUACCUAUGUAAGAAUGCUGUUCAUCAAUUACAGCUCAGCAUUUAACACCAUAGGUCUCGACGCCGCCCAGUACAGCUGGGUCCUGGACUUUGAGACGGGCCGCCCCCAGGUGGUGAGGGUAGGAAACAACAUCUCCACCCCGCUGAUCCUCAACACUGGGGCCCCACAAGGGUGCGUUCUCAGCCCUCUCCUGUACUCCCUGUUCACCCAUGACUGCGUGGCCAUUCACGCCUCCAACACAAUCAUCAAGUUUGCAGACGGCACUACAGUGGUAGAAUUGAUUACCAACAACGACGAGACGGCCUACAGGGAAGAGGUGAGGGGCCCUCGGAGUGUGGUGUCAGGAAAAUAACCUCACACUCAACGUCAACAAAGCAAAGGAGGUGAUCGUGGACUUCAGGAAACAGCAGAGGGAGCACCCCCCUAUCCACAGACGGGACAGUAGUGGAGAAGGUGGAAAGUUUUAAGUUCCUUGGUGUACACAUUACAGACAAACUGAAAUGGUCCACCCACACAGACAGUGUGGUGUGGAAGGCACAACAGCGCCUCUUCAACCUCAGGAGGCUGAAGAAAUUUGGCUUGUCACCGAAAACACUCACAACCUUCUACAGAUGCACAAUCGAGAGCAUCCUGUCGGGCUGUAUCACCGCCUGGUACGGCAACUGCUCCGCCCACAACCUUAAGGCUCUCCAGAGGGUAGUGAGGUCUGCACAACGCAUCACCGGGGGCAAACUACCUGCCCUCCAGGACACCUACACCACCCGAUGUCACAGGAAGGCCAAAAAGAUCAUCAAGGACAUCAACCACCCGAGCCACUGCCUGUUCACCCCGCUAUCAUCCAGAAGGCGAUGUCAGUACAGGUGCAUCAAAGCUGGGACCGAGAGACUGAAAAACAGCUUCUAUCUCAAGGCCAUCAGACUGUUGAACAGCCAUCAUUAACAUAGAGGCUGCUGCCAACAUACUGACUCAAUAUCUAGCCACUUUAAUAAUUAAAAAUUGGAUGUAAUAAAUGUAUCACUAGCCACUUUAAACGAUGCCACUUUAUAUAAUGUUUACAUACCCUACAUUACUCAUCUCAUAUGUAUAUACUGUACUCUAUACCAUUUACUGCAUCUUGCCUAUGCCGCAUGGCCAUCGCUCAUCCAUAUAUGUAUAUGUACAUAUUCUUAUUCAUUCCUUUACAUUUGUGUGUAUUAGGUAGUUGUGAAAUUGUUAGAUUACUUGUUAGAUAUUACUGUACGGUCGGAACUAGAAGCACAAACAUUUUGCUACACUCACAUUAACAUCUGCUAACCAUGUCUAUGUGACCAAUAACAUUUGAUUUGAUUUGUGAAUUAUAAGUGUAUUUCAUGCUAAUCUUAACCUUGUGACCCAUUCUAUACAUCUGUUGUUCGUCAUAUAGGUUAAACGGGGUGUAUCUUGGCUAUAAAAGACCGUUGUACUUCGUCUCGGGCUCUCAGCGAAUCAUCUGAGGUUGAUUCGUUGACCAGCCAUCAUUAUCGUAGAACACUCAAUCCAUUCUCUUUGUGUUGUAUUAACCUGCUCUCUUAUUAAGUCAAUAAAGAUGUAGUUUAAGUAUAA